GAUGAACGCUAGCGGGAGGCCUAACACAUGCAAGCCGAGCGGUAUUGUUUCUUCGGAAAUGAGAGAGCGGCGUACGGGUGCGGAACACGUGUGCAACCUGCCUUUAUCUGGGGGAUAGCCUUUCGAAAGGAAGAUUAAUACUCCAUAAUAUAUUGAACGGCAUCGUUUAAUAUUGAAAGCUCCGGCGGAUAGAGAUGGGCACGCGCAAGAUUAGCUAGUUGGUGAGGUAACGGCUCACCAAGGCGAUGAUCUUUAGGGGGCCUGAGAGGGUGAUCCCCAACACUGGUACUGAGACACGGACCAGACUCCUACGGGAGGCAGCAGUGAGGAAUAUUGGGCAAUGGGUGCAAGCCUGAACCAGCCAUCCCGCGUGAAGGACGACUGCCCUAUGGGUUGUAAACUUCUUUUGUAUAGGGAUAAACCUACCCUCGUGAGGGUAGCUGAAGGUACUAUACGAAUAAGCACCGGCUAACUCCGUGCCAGCAGCCGCGGUAACAC
rnacentral:rRNA from 1 species